AUUGAACGCUGGCGGCAUGCCUUACACAUGCAAGUCGAACGGUAACAGAUCUUCGGAUGCUGACGAGUGGCGAACGGGUGAGUAAUACAUCGGAACGUGCCUAGGAGUGGGGGAUAACUACUUGAAAGAGUGGCUAAUACCGCAUGAGAUCUAAGGAUGAAAGCAGGAGAUGGGCAAACGUUGUGCUACAGGAUGGGCCGAUGGCAGAUUAGGUAGUUGGUGGGAUAAAAGCUUACCAAGCCGACGAUCUGUAGCUGGUCUGAGAGGACGAUCAGCCACACUGGGACUGAGACACGGCCCAGACUCCUACGGGAGGCAGCAGUGGGGAAUUUUGGACAAUGGGCGCAAGCCUGAUCCAGCAAUGCCGCGUGCAGGAUGAAGGCCUUCGGGUUGUAAACUGCUUUUGUACGGAACGAAAAGCCCUGGGUUAAUACCCUGGGGUCAUGACGGUACCGUAAGAAUAAGCACCGGCUAACUACGUGCCAGCCGCCGCAGUAAGAC
rnacentral:rRNA from 1 species